CAGCGCCUGAAGCAGUGAGAUGGGGGCAAGAUUUAUUUACAGCAAAAAUGCUUUAUUAAAUCCACCCUUCGAUGUAUCAAUAAAGAGCGAACAUUUAAGAGAGCUCCCACUAUCUUUGAUUUGGUUCGGAAUGACAAGACUAAGAGGUCUAACGAUCUUAAGUCAGGAGUAUAUCGGAUCCCCCUGCGCAACUUGGACGAUAACCGCACAGAGAUCUACGUAGGAGCUACCGCCAGAAAUUUUAAAGACAGGAUUUCCGAAUACAAAAAUGACAUUUCUAAAGGCAACCUUAAUACCGCCUUAGCCUUGAGAGUUUUUGAAAAGAAC
rnacentral:lncRNA from 1 species